rnacentral:rRNA from 1 species
AACGCCGCGUGCGGAAUGACGGCCUUCGGGUUGUAAACCGCUUUCAGCAGGGAAGAAGCGAAAGUGACGGUACCUGCAGAAGAAGCCCGGCUAACUACGUCCAGCAGCCGCGUAAUACGUAGGGUACAAGCGUUGUCCGGAUUUAUUGGGCGUAAAGAGCUCGUAGGCGGUUAGUCACGUCGGAUGUGAAAUCCCAGUGCUUAACACUGGGCCUGCAUUCGAUACGGGCUGACUAGAGUGUUGUAGGGGAGACUGGAACUCCUGGUGUAGCGGUGAAAUGCGCAGAUAUCAGGAAGAACACCGGUGGCAAAGGCGGGGUCUCUGGGCAACUUACUGACGCUGAGGAGCGAAAGCGUGGGGAGCAAACCAGGAUUAGGUACCCUUGGUAGUCCACGGCCGUAAAGCGGUGGGCGCAAGGUUGUGGGGAACAUCCCACGGUCUCCGACCCAGCAGAUAACGCAUUAAGCGGCUCCGCUUGGGGAGUAC